rnacentral:rRNA from 1 species
AACGAACGCUGGCGGCAGGCCUAACACAUGCAAGUCGAGCGGACCUUUCGGGGUCAGCGGCGGACGGGUGAGUAACGCGUGGGAAUAUGCCCUUCUCUACGGAAUAGUCCUGGGAAACUGGGGGUAAUUCCGGAUACGCCCUUUGGGGGAAAGAUUUAUCGGGGAAGGAUUAGCCCGCGUUGGAUUAGGUAGUUGGUGGGGUAAUGGCCUACCAAGCCGACGAUCCAUAGCUGGUUUGAGAGGAUGAUCAGCCACACUGGGACUGAGACACGGCCCAGACUCCUACGGGAGGCAGCAGUGGGGAAUCUUAGACAAUGGGGGCAACCCUGAUCUAGCCAUGCCGCGUGAGUGAUGAAGGCCUUAGGGUUGUAAAGCUCUUUCAGCUGGGAAGAUAAUGACGGUACCAGCAGAAGAAGCCCCGGCUAACUCCGUG